GCCUACGGGGCGCAGCAGUAGGGAAUCUUCCACAAUGGGCGAAAGCCUGAUGGAGCAACGCCGCGUGGGUGAAGAAGGUCCUCGGAUCGUAAAACCCUGUUGUUAGAGAAGAAAGUGCGUGAGAGUAACUGUUCACGUUUCGACGGUAUCUAACCAGAAAGCCACGGCUAACUACGUGCCAGCAGCCGCGGUAAUACGUAGGUGGCAAGCGUUAUCCGGAUUUAUUGGGCGUAAAGAGAACGCAGGCGGUCUUUUAAGUCUGAUGUGAAAGCCUUCGUCUUAACCGGAGUAGUGCAUUGGUAACU
rnacentral:rRNA from 1 species